rnacentral:tRNA from 1 species
CGGGGUGUGGCUCAGAUGGCUAGAGCACUCGGUUCGGGACCGUGAGAUCGCUGGUUCAAAUCCAGUCGCCCCGA